CGAGUCCACCAGGCGGGUGGCUGCCCUGCGCAUCCAGCUUCUCACACGCGAGACACAGAAGAGAGGAGGGAGUUAGAGAAGGUGGUAGAACAAGGCCAGGGGAGAAGGAGCAGCAGGAAGGGGCGCAGUCUGGGGAGCUGCUGUUUCAUACAUCCUGAGGAGGGACAAGGAGUGGCAGAUGCCCACAUCCUGGAGAUGGUGUUGGAGGAGCCGGAGAAGCAACUUCCUUCUGAAACGUCCAGACUCAGGUCUGACCUUCGGAGCCAGGGAACAACAUCACACAGCUGCUCAGGUGGCUGUUCCGUUCCCCAUUCCCACCAGCAGUGCGAGAGCUCCAGUCUGUCUCCACGUCUCCGUCAGCACUGGGUAUAAUCAGUCUCGUAAAUUCUGGGAUAGUCAAUUAUUUCAGCCAUUUGUUGAAAAGAUUAUCAUUUCCCCCAGUGAACUGUCUUGGCACGUUGGUCAAAGAUUCGUUGACUCUGUGGGAGUGGGUCCAUUUCUGAGCGCACUGUCUUUCUUCUAUGGAUGUAUGUCUGCUCCCCUUGGACCCUGACCCAUGCCUCCUCCAGGAAGCUCUUGGAAUCACUGACGCGAGCCCUCAGACCUGCUCUUUCUUAAAACUGGGUUGGCCGUCCCAGGUCCUUUGCAUUUCCACAUAAUUAGUUUCUCAAUUUCUACAGAAAAGCCUCCUGAGGUUUUGUUGGGGAUCAUAUCAAAUCUCCCCAUGAAUCUGGGGAGAACUGGCGGCAAUGACAACACCGGGUCACGAGCGUCCAUUACUUGGGUCCUCUGUAGUUGUUCUCAGAAGCAUUUUAUAGCCUUUGCAUCUUUUGUUUAAUUUGUAUAAUAAACGUAUGUAAAUUUAUAUAAACACCUAUGAAAUAAGUAUUUUACAUUCUUUGAUAUCGCUGUAACUGGAAUUUUAAACAACUUUAAUUUUCCAAUUUUUCAUUGUAUUUAUAACAUAUAAAAAAUUUCCAACAUAUAUUUUAUUUUUGGUGUAUGCAAAUCCAGAGGACUUUUGUAUACUGACCUUGUGUCCUACAACCUUGCUAAACUCACUUGUUAGUUUUAGCAGCUUUCUGUAGAUUCCUUACAUUUUCCUAUGUAGGUUGUCACG